CGGGAACGGCAGCAUCUCUGAUGCAGCUGUAGAGUGAGGGACCCUGGUGUGAACAUGCCAGCAUCCCUAAGAAACAACUUCCCGGUCACCAUAUCGAUAGCAAACGGGGACAAAACGCCAUUCGGUGAACUCCACUGUACCAGCAACACCAGAGACAAAACAGAAAACCUGGGGAUGUUUCCUGGAAUCGAUUCCUGGGCUGCAGCUCAGUCUUCGGAAUUCAGCUUCUUCCAUGGAAGAGGAUAAAACGCUGUCAUCGUUAUCAAGGUGAUGCGCUCAUGAAACUUGUUGCUUCAAUCCACCUAGUUGUGACUGCAAAGUCUUCAUGGUAAGGACUGUCUGUUUGAAAAGGAAGAGCUGUCACCCUCAUUUUAUAGAGUAAGCUCGGCAAAAAGAUAUUAAAUUAUUUGUCCAAGAGCAUGCAGGGAGGUUGUGGCUAAUGGAAUUAAACCCAGAUUUUUCAGAUCAUAGUGAAGUGCCUUAACCACAAAAUGAUUCUUCCUCUCUGUGGGUCAGCUACUGUAACUUCAGUAUUUGGGCUGGGUUUUCAAACGUUUGUCUUCUUCCAAGGAUCGAGUUUAAUUCUGCUGAAUUUUCCACUUCCAUGAAAAACAUCGCCCAGUUUAUCUUUCCUCUCUACAAAUAACUUUUCCCAAAUUUACUUUCUCCCCGCCAAGGAAACGCAGGCUGAGACACCAGUAAGAGGAAGGAUGGGGAACUGCCAUCACCAGGUCUGUCCCUGUUGCUUUUCAGCCAAAUAGGCAGAAACUUUUUUAUUUUGUUUCCCCCCCAGACACUGAUCUGGGGCAAUGUCAUGCAACCUUCAGCCCCUUUCCUGCUCUCAUAAUUUACUUACAAGACCUCCCCAUGCUUGCCCCCAGGAGCUGGCUGCUGAAAGUCUGCCGUGUAAAAAGGCUCAUUUCCAAAUGUUGCCGGUAACGGAGACACUGAGUUGUUUACUGUGCAAUAAAAUGAUUCAGGGCCUCAUUUCUAGUGCCUCUACCCUGAGCAAUUUUGUCAAGGCUACGCAUGUGUACAGGGCUCUCUUCUCCAGCACUGCCUUAUUUUUUGACAGAUGCUUUCCAGCUAGAUGGCUUCUUCUUUAAAGCAUUCUGUAAAGUGGUUUUAUCUUCCCCCUUUGCGCUG